rnacentral:rRNA from 1 species
UUUGGUGAUGAUGGCGAAGAGGUCACACCCGUUCCCAUUCCGAACACGGAAGUUAAGCUCUUCAGCGCCGAUGGUAGUUGGGACUUUGUCCCUGUGAGAGUAGGACGUCGCCAAGC